AAAUUUUUUUCUAGGGUUUUGACGUCACUUUUUCUCUAUUUAAAGGGCCGAUAGAAAAUCUUUCUAUUCCAACUCAUUGCGCAACUGCUCUGUCCGAAAUUCAGACAGCAGCAAAACAUAGCUAUGUCCGAAAUUCUAUCCUUAAUCGAAUUUCUCCACCGUCUGAGGCCGCCGCCUGAACCUCCGCCGCCGAGAUGGAGCACAAGCACAUCGAACAAUAUUCUCGUCAGCGGUAUAAGGAUCUCUUAGAAUGUGAAGAUUUCAUGUAUAAGUCAAUUUGUGUCAGAUGAAAAGGUUUUGGAAAGUUUUUAUUUCCAAAGCUUUUGAUGACCUUGUUGGCCGAUUUCCUCACAAUCAUUCUAAUGAUCCGCUCUUGUUUCCAAUAUGGAUUGAUGGGUGUUUUCAAAUAGUCGACAAGAAUAGCCUUGAACGUGUUCACGGCCUUAAGUCGAUACAUUCCAAAAUCCAUUGAAACUCCUUCAGGUUGAUACAUGCUGCCUGGAUGAUGACUUAUAUAUAUAUAUAUAUUAAAUAUGGUUGGCCAAAGUUGUUGAUGAAGUACGAAAUCAACAAACAAGAUGCAACAUUGUACUGUGUGAAGAUUCGCCUUUAGAUGGCGUUCGUGCCGCAUUUGUCAUCUCCCGUUUGAAGAUUCACCUUUAGAUGACAUUCCUACUGCUUUACUCACCACCCUGUGAAGAUUCGCCUUUAGAUGACAUUCACCCUUUACUCAUUAUUCUCUAGAAGCUUAAAAAAGACAUCGCCUCGUGUUUGUUAAAGAAUAUUCGAGCAGUCUAAUGG